rnacentral:lncRNA from 1 species
AACUAAACCGUUGAACACCAUUGCAUUUUUUCAAGUAUACCUCAGUUAACCAGCUUCCCUUUACAUCUGUUGCGGACAAAAGCAUUGCCGAAGAAUAUUUAUUUAAUAACUUUUCUGUAAUUUGCACCUUGUGCUGUGAAAAGUAUGGCAGUUUAACAUUGUGUUUAACACUUUUCUGUAAGAAUUGGAAAGGGUGUCCAACCCCAACUUUGGACCUACUUAAAACAGAACACAGAACAACACCCCGGAUUUUUAUUCUCAGGUAGACCGCAGCUACCCAGCCUCUCUUUGCAUUUAAUCGGACAAAAUGAUUGCCGUAGAA